AUCUACCUCUAACUGGAGGAUAGCGCGAAGAAAUUCGGAUUAAUACUCCAUAAAGUCAUAAUUUCGCAUGUNAUUAUGAUUAAAGCUCCGGCGGUUAGAGAUGAGCAUGCGUGUCAUUAGCUUGUUGGUGAGGUAACAGCUCACCAAGGCAACGAUGACUAGGGGUUCUGAGAGGAUGAUCCCCCACACUGGUACUGAGACACGGACCAGACUCCUACGGGAGGCAGCAGUGAGGAAUAUUGGGCAAUGGGCGAAAGCCUGACCCAGCCAUGCCGCGUGCAGGAUGACUGCCCUAUGGUUUUAGAAAACUGCCUUUAAUACGGGAAGAAUGGUUCCUACAGUUGUGGGGGAAUUUGACGGGACCGUAAGAAUAAGCAUCGGCUAACUCCGUGCCAGCAGCCGCGGUAAUACGGAGGAUGCAAGCGUUAUCCGGAUUCAUUGGGUUACAAGGGUGCGCAGGCGGAAUAUAUACAGUAAGUGGUGACAUCCUGCAGAUUAACUGUUAGAAACUGCCAUUGAUACUGAUAUUCUUGAAUGUAGUUGACGGUUGGGCGGAAUGUGUCAUGUAGCGGUGAAAUGCCUAAGAUAUUACACGGAACACCGAUUGCGAAGGAAGCACACUAAACUAACAUUGACGCCGAGGCACGGAAAGCGUUGGGAGCGAACAGGAUUAGAUACCCUGGUAGUCCACGCUUGUAAACUAUGAUCACUCGCUGUUGGCAAUACAUCGUCAGCGGCUGAGCGAAAGCAUUAAGUGAUCCACCUGGGGAUUACGAUCGCAAGAUUGAAACUCAAAGGAAUUGACGGGGGCCCGCACAAGCGGAGGAACAUGUGGUUUAAUUCGAUGAUACGCGAGGAACCUUACCUGGGCUUAAAUGCAGAUCGACGUUCCGGGAAACCGGAAUUCCUUCGGGCGAACUGCAAGGUGCUGCAUGGCUGUCGUCAGCUCGUGCCGUGAGGUGUCGGGUUAAGUCCCAUAACGAGCGCAACCCUUAUCGUUAGUUGCCAGCGGGUAAUGCCGGGGACUCUAACGAAACUGCCGGUGUAAACCGUGAGGAAGGUGGGGAUGACGUCAAGUCAGCACGGCCCUUAUGUCCAGGGCUACACACGUGUUACAAUGGUCGGUACAAAGGGCAGCUACCAGUCGACUGGAUGCUAAUCUCAAAAACCGAUCUCAGUUCGGAUUGAAGUCUGCAACUCGACUUCAUGAAGCUGGAUUCGCUAGUAAUCGCGCAUCACGCCACGGCGCGGGAAUACGUUCCCGGGCCUUGACACACCGCCCGUCAAGCCAUGGAAGCUUGG
rnacentral:rRNA from 1 species